rnacentral:misc_RNA from 1 species
AAGAGACGUUGCCCUUCGGGGUAUACCUCCCACCCUUUGUUUAUUAUACCUUUGUUGCUUUGGCGGGGCCCGUCCUCGGACCACCGGCUUCUGCUGGUCAGUGCCCGCCAGAGGACCUAAAACUCUGUUUGUUAAUAUUGUCUGAGUACUAUAUAAUAGUUCA